AAUUGAAGAGUUUGAUCCUGGCUCAGAUUGAACGCUGGCGGCAUGGCUAAAGCAUGCAAGUCGAACGCGAAAGUCACUUCGGUGGCGAGUAGAGUGGCGGAAGGGCGAGGAAUACAUUUCUAACGUGCCUCAAGGUGAGGGAUAGCUCUGGGAAACCGGUGGUAAUACCUCAUAAUCCUGAUGAAUCGUAUGGUUUUUCAGGCAAAGGCUUGCUGCCUUGAGAUCGGGAAAUGUGCUAUCAGCUUGUUGGUAAGGUAAUGGCUUACCAAGGCUAAGACGGCUAGCGGGUGUGAGAGCACGACCCGCCGCAUCGGGACUGAGACACUGCCCGGACUCCUACGGGAGGCUGCAGCGACGAAUAUUCCGCAAUGGGCGAAAGCCUGACGGAGCAAUGCCGCGUGUGGGAUGAAGCCCCUUGGGGUGUAAACCACUGUCAGAGACCACCAACACAAUGAGGAAUCUCAGAGGAAGGGCCGGCUAACUUCGUGCCAGCAGCCGCGGUAAUACGAAGGGCCCGAGCGUUAAUCGGAAUCACUGGGCUUAAAGGGUGUGUAGGCCGUUAUGUAAGUACCUUGUGAAAUCCCAGGGCUCAACCCUGGAACUGCUGGGUAUACUGCAUGACUUGAGGUCGGUAGGGGCAGCUGGAACAAUAGGUGGAGCGGUGAAAUGCGUAGAUAUCUAUUGGAACGCCAAAGGCGAAGGCAAGCUGCUGGGCCGAUUCUGACGCUGAGACACGAAAGCGUGGGUAUCGAACGGGAUUAGAUACCCCGGUAGUCCACGCCGUAAACGAUGUACACUAGUUCGAGAGGGCUCUGACGCCAGCUUGGACGAAGCUAAAGUGUUUAGUGUACCGCCUGGGGAGUACGGUCGCAAGACUAAAACUCAAAGGAAUUGACGGGGGCUCACACAAGCGGUGGAGCAUGUGGCUUAAUUCGAGGCAACGCGAAGAACCUUAUCCU
rnacentral:rRNA from 1 species